AGUGAACGCUGGCGGCGUGCCUAAUACAUGCAAGUCGAACGGACAAGUAAGAGCUUGCUCUUAUGAGUUAGUGGCGCACGGGUGAGUAAUGUAUAGUUAAUCUGCCCUACACUGGAGGACAACAGUUAGAAAUGACUGCUAAUACCGCAUAACCCGAUAGGAUCGCAUGAUCCAGACGGAAAAGAUUUAUCGGUGUGAGAUGGACCCGCGUCUGAUUAGCUGGUUGGUGAGGUAACGGCUCACCAAGGCGACGAUCCGUAGCUGGUUUGAGAGGACGACCAGCCACACUGGGACUGAGCACGGCCCAG
rnacentral:rRNA from 1 species